rnacentral:misc_RNA from 1 species
AAGUCGUAACAAGGUUUCCGUAGGUGAACCUGCGGAAGGAUCAUUAAAACGUAUCCAACGUUAACUAAUAGUGAACUCGUCUCCUCCCUUGGCACUGAGAAAUUGGAACUGUGAAAGACUUUGAUUGGGAUCCUUCACUGGGUCGGUCUGACACAGCCACUGCAUAUCUUUUUUGAUAUGUGACAAUAGUAUCAACUGCUGAGGCAAUUCUUUCUGGCGCUGCCCUCCAUCACGGGUGAGUCAGUUGGAGUGUAUACUAACCAUUAUCACCCCCUUUUUGCUAGUUGACUUUUUUAAUGUUAGUUUUUACGAAAGUAAAAUUCUACACGUUUCAUUAUAUGAAUCGUAAAAUACAACUCUUAGCAAUGGAUAUCUAGGUUCUC